rnacentral:tRNA from 1 species
GCGCCCUUAGCUCAGUUGGUAGAGCAGUUGACUUUUAAUCAAUUGGUCGCAGGUUCGAAUCCUGCAGGGCGUGCCA